CCCCGCCUGGGGAGUACGCCCGCAAGGGUGAAACUCAAAGGAAUUGACGGGGGCCCGCACAAGCGGUGGAGCGCGUGGUUCAAUUCGAUGCUAAGCGAAGAACCUUACCUGGGCUUGACAUGCUGGUAGUACCCUGACCGAAAGGUUGGGGGAUCCCCUUUUGGGGAAGCCAGCACAGGUGCUGCACGGCUGUCGUCAGCUCGUGCCGUGAGGUGUUGGGUUAAGUCCCGCAACGAGCGCAACCCCUGCCCUUAGUUGCCAUCAGCGCCCAUGUGGCGGCUGGGCACUCUAAGGGGACUGCCGCCGAUGAGGCGGAGGAAGGUGGGGAUGACGUCAAGUCCGUGUGGCCUUUAUGCCCAGGGCUACACACGCGCUACAAUGGGCGGGACAAUGGGUUGCGACCCUGCGAGGGGGAGCCAAUCCCAUAAAACCGCUCCCAGUUCGGAUUGCAGGCUGCAACUCGCCUGCAUGAAGGCGGAAUCGCUAGUAAUCGCCUAUCAGCAUGGGGCGGUGAAUACGUUCCCGGGCCUUGUACACACCGCCCGUCACGCCAUGGAAGCCGGGGGCACCUGAAGUCGCUCGCCCAACCCCUUAUGGGGAGGGAGGCGCCUAGGGUGAACCCGGUGACUGGGGCGAAGUCGUAACAAGGUAGCCGUACGGGAACGUGCGGCUGGAUCACCUCCUUUAA
rnacentral:rRNA from 1 species